rnacentral:miRNA from 1 species
UUUUACUCGUUGGUGAGCUCCU